rnacentral:SRP_RNA from 1 species
AUUGGGGCGUUAGCGGUGCCUUGUAACCCUCAAUCCGCUGCAGAGGGGAUGAAAACUUGAGCUGAGGGCUAAUCUUGUCCGGUCUGCCCGUUAUAAGUGGUGUUGACAAUUUCGGUCUUACGCAAUUGGAAGCUGUGAACCAUGUCAGGGCGGGAACGCAGCAGCAUUAAGCAGUAGCUCCGGUGUGCCGUGAGAGUGCCGGAUUCGAGCUAACUGUAUCGGU